UUGGAUACCUAAGGUGUAAAAGAGAGACAAGAAUAGAUAUUGGACUACUGAAAAAUUACAUUGAAGAGUUAUUAAUGAAGGACAAACUAAUGCUGGACAACCUAAGUAUUUUGCAUCAGUCUUCAUUGUGGAAGAUAUUAGCAGUGUGGUGGGAGUUCCGGACUGUCAGGGGGCAGAAGUGUGUAAACGUAUGAUUACGAGAGAGAAGGUUCUUUGGAAGUUGAUAGGCUGAAAGUAGCUAAGCAAUCUGGAUCAGAUGGAUCUGAAAGAGAUGGCUGAAUAUGCACAUGUCAGCUAAUUAUUCUUUAGUUGUGAUAAUAUUUAACCCCAUACCUGUCGUCAUAGUGUUUGUCGAGACUUGGACACAGUCACAGCAGUUCUUUGCUGCCUGCAAUCCGCCUUGCCUGAGAAAUUGGACAGUCAGGUCAACUGACUCGGAAGACUAGAGGGUUCUUUUGAAGCUCCUGACCUGGAGUUACACACUGACUUCGGUUCUUUGUGGGAAUGGGGCCCGCUGUCGGGGUCUCACGUCUGGCCGUUAUUUGAUAUGCCAAGGACGUGGCUUGGAAGACUAGUGCGCCUUCAGUGUUGCGGGAUUUCGUGGCUCUGGAGCUGGUAUGGAAGUUGGCCUGUCCAAGACCGAAAGAAGCUGCAGAAGAUCGUGAACAUAGCCCAGCACAUCAAACAAACCAAUCACCCAUCCUUGGACUCACUUUACACCGCACGCUGUCGGAGCAGUGCUGCCAGAAUAAUCAAGGACACGACCCACCCAGCCAACACACUUUUGGUCCCUCUUCCCUCUGGGAGAAGGUUCAGGAAUUUGAAGAUUCAUACGGCCAGAUUUGGGAACAGCUUCUUUCCAACUGUGAUAAGACUGCUGAACAGAUCCUGACCCGGAUCUGGGCCGUACCUUCCAAAUAUCUGGACCUAACUUGCACUACCUUACUUUCUCUUUUCUAUUUUAUAAUUAUGAUUUAUAAUUUAAAUUUUUAUUAUAUUUACUUUGUUUUUUACUUCAGGGAGCAUGAAGCACAGAAACAAAUAUCACUGUGAUGAUUGUACACUCUAGUAUCAAUUGUUUGGUGACAAUAAAGUAAA